UGGUUGUGUCGCCUUAUCGGCAAGAGCUGCAUUGAGGAAUUAACAUAUGCGUUCCCACAUAAUUGGAAUACUUCCGAGGUUAUGGAAUUAAUGGGACGUUGACUCUUGUAGAUGGCGCAUCGCACCCGAUCUGGCUCUGUGCCCAGCGGCAGCGAGCCGAGGCAGGAUCUUCCUCCGCCCCCGCCCCCACCUUCGCUGGAAGCCAUCCUAGCGGCUCAGACGGAGCUGCUAAGGCACAUUGUACAAGGACAACAACAGCAGCCCCAUGGAGGGAGAGCCCACCAACAACCUCAAGUUGCUCGUUAUGAGGACUUCUUGAGCAUGCAGCCCCCGACCUUCCACAAGACGGAAGACCCGCUCGAUGCAGAUGCAUGGGUUCGUACGAUCGAAUCCAAGUUCAAGCUCCUCACCGCCCCGU
rnacentral:lncRNA from 1 species